rnacentral:rRNA from 1 species
GCAAGUCGAACGAUGAAGCCCUUCGGGGUGGAUUAGUGGCGAACGGGUGAGUAACACGUGGGCAAUCUGCCCUUCACUCUGGGACAAGCCCUGGAAACGGGGUCUAAUACCGGAUAACACUCUGUCCCUCAUGGGGCGGGGUUAAAAGCUCCGGCGGUGAAGGAUGAGCCCGCGGCCUAUCAGCUUGUUGGUGGGGUAAUGGCCUACCAAGGCGACGACGGGUAGCCGGCCUGAGAGGGCGACCGGCCACACUGGGACUGAGACACGGCCCAGACUCCUACGGGAGGCAGCAGUGGGGAAUAUUGCACAAUGGGCGAAAGCCUGAUGCAGCGACGCCGCGUGAGGGAUGACGGCCUUCGGGUUGUAAACCUCUUUCAGCAGGGAAGAAGCGAAAGUGACGGUACCUGCAGAAGAAGCACCGGCUAACUACGUGCCAGCAGCCGCGGUAAUACGUAGGGUGCGAGCGUUGUCCGGAAUUAUUGGGCGUAAAGAGCUCGUAGGCGGCUUGUCACGUCGGAUGUGAAAGCUCGGGGCUUAACCCCGAGUCUGCAUUCGAUACGGGCUAGCUAGAGUGUGGUAGGGGAGAUCGGAAUUCCUGGUGUAGCGGUGAAAUGCGCAGAUAUCAGGAGGAACACCGGUGGCGAAGGCGGAUCUCUGGGCCAUUACUGACGCUGAGGAGCGAAAGCGUG